rnacentral:rRNA from 1 species
AAUGAACGCUGGCGGCAGGCCUAACACAUGCAAGUCGAGCGGAUGAAGGGAGCUUGCUCCUGGAUUCAGCGGCGGACGGGUGAGUAAUGCCUAGGAAUCUGCCUGGUAGUGGGGGAUAACGUCCGGAAACGGGCGCUAAUACCGCAUACGUCCUGAGGGAGAAAGUGGGGGAUCUUCGGACCUCACGCUAUCAGAUGAGCCUAGGUCGGAUUAGCUAGUUGGUGGGGUAAAGGCCUACCAAGGCGACGAUCCGUAACUGGUCUGAGAGGAUGAUCAGUCACACUGGAACUGAGACACGGUCCAGACUCCUACGGGAGGCAGCAGUGGGGAAUAUUGGACAAUGGGCGAAAGCCUGAUCCAGCCAUGCCGCGUGUGUGAAGAAGGUCUUCGGAUUGUAAAGCACUUUAAGUUGGGAGGAAGGGCAGUAAGUUAAUACCUUGCUGUUUUGACGUUACCAACAGAAUAAGCACCGGCUAACUUCGUGCCAGCAGCCGCGGUAAUACGAAGGGUGCAAGCGUUAAUCGGAAUUACUGGGCGUAAAGCGCGCGUAGGUGGUUCAGCAAGUUGGAUGUGAAAUCCCCGGGCUCAACCUGGGAACUGCAUCCAAAACUACUGAGCUAGAGUACGGUAGAGGGUGGUGGAAUUUCCUGUGUAGCGGUGAAAUGCGUAGAUAUAGGAAGGAACACCAGUGGCGAAGGCGACCACCUGGACUGAUACUGACACUGAGGUGCGAAAGCGUGGGGAGCAAACAGGAUUAGAUACCCUGGUAGUCCACGCCGUAAACGAUGUCGACUAGCCGUUGGGAUCCUUGAGAUCUUAGUGGCGCAGCUAACGCGAUAAUUCGACGCCUGGGGAG